rnacentral:misc_RNA from 1 species
GGCACUACUACCACAUCGAUGGUACAUAAACCUGCUCUUUGAGAUUCUGUGUGGCGCUUUCAGUAGGAAAACCUCUAACAGCACCUAUUGUCCACUGGGAUAUUAUGCCUGCUGCAAUAGCAAAGCGAAGCUGUCUCUCUAGAACAUCUUGAUCGUGGUACAUCUCUGGUUGUGUCGUCAACUUUCUCAUUAUUCCAGCGACAACAGCAUCUCCAGAACCAGUUCUAUCACAAGUAAACGGUGUUAUGAGCACAUCUUCU